AUUGAACGCUGGCGGCAGGCUUAACACAUGCAAGUCGAGCGGAGCGAGGGUGCUUGCACCUUAGCUUAGCGGCGGACGGGUGAGUAAUGCUUAGGAAUCUGCCUAUUAGUGGGGGACAACAUUCCGAAAGGAAUGCUAAUACCGCAUACGCCCUACGGGGGAAAGCAGGGGAUCAUCGGACCUUGCGCUAAUAGAUGAGCCUAAGUCGGAUUAGCUAGUUGGUGGGGUAAAGGCCUACCAAGGCGACGAUCUGCAGCGGGUCUGAGAGGAUGAUCCGCCACACUGGGACUGAGACACGGCCCAGACUCCUACGGGAGGCAGCAGUGGGGAAUAUUGGACAACGGGCGGAAGCCUGAUCCAGCCAUGCCGCGUGUGUGAAGAAGGCCUUUUGGUUGUAAAGCACUUUAAGCGAGGAGGAGGCUACUUAGAUUAAUACUCUGGGAUAGUGGACGUUACUCGCAGAAUAAGCACCGGCUAACUCUGUGCCAGCCGCCGCGGUAA
rnacentral:rRNA from 1 species